rnacentral:rRNA from 1 species
CAUGGUUGUCGUCAGCUCGUGUCGUGAGAUGUUGGGUUAAGUCCCGCAACGAGCGCAACCCUUAUUGUUAGUUGCCAUCAUUCAGUUGGGCACUCUAGCGAGACUGCCGGUAAUAAACCGGAGGAAGGUGGGGAUGACGUCAAAUCAUCAUGCCCCUUAUGACCUGGGCUACACACGUGCUACAAUGGUUGGUACAACGAGUCGCAAGUCGGUGACGGCAAGCAAAUCUCUUAAAGCCAAUCUCAGUUCGGAUUGUAGGCUGCAACUCGCCUACAUGAAGUCGGAAUCGCUAGUAAUCGCGGAUCAGCACGCCGCGGUGAAUACGUUCCCGGGCCUUGUACACACCGCCCGUCACACCAC